rnacentral:rRNA from 1 species
CCUACGGGUGGCAGCAGUGGGGAAUAUUGCACAAUGGGGGAAACCCUGAUGCAGCGACGCCGCGUGAGUGAAGAAGUCUUUCGGUAUGUAAAGCUCUAUCAGCAGGGAAGAAAACGACGGUACUUGUUUAAGAAGCCCUGGCUAACUACGUGCCAGCAGCCGCGGUCAUACGGAGGGGGCAAGCGUUAUCCGGAUUUACUGGGUGUAAAGGGAGCGUAGACGGCAGCACAAGUCGGGAGUGAAAUGCCGGGGCUUAACCCCGGAACUGCUUUGGAAACUGUGCAGCUAGAGUGCAGGAGAGGUAAGUAGAAUUCCUGGUGUAGCGGUGAAAUGCGUAGAUAUUAGGAGGAACACCAGUGGCGAAGGCGGCUUACUGGACUGUAACUGACGUUGAGGCUCGAAAGCGUGGGGAGCAAACAGGAUUAGAUACCCUUGUAGUC